GGGGAAUAUUGCACAAUGGGCGCAAGCCUGAUGCAGCCAUGCCGCGUGUAUGAAGAAGGCCUUCGGGUUGUAAAGUACUUUCAGCGAGGAGGAAGGCGUUAAGGUUAAUAACCUUAGCGAUUGACGUUACCCGCAGAAGAAGCACCGGCUAACUCCGUGCCAGCAGCCGCGGUAAUACGGAGGGUGCAAGCGUUAAUCGGAAUUACUGGGCGUAAAGCGCACGCAGGCGGUCUGUUAAGUCGGAUGUGAAAUCCCCGGGCUCAACCUGGGAACUGCAUUCGAAACUGGCAGGCUGGAGUCUCGUAGAGGGGGGUAGAAUUCCAGGUGUAGCGGUGAAAUGCGUAGAGAUCUGGAGGAAUACCGGUGGCGAAGGCGGCCCCCUGGACAAAGACUGACGCUCAGGUGCGAAAGCGUGGGGAGCAAAC
rnacentral:rRNA from 1 species